CUCUCUCUCUCUCUCUCUCUCUCUCUCUCUCUCACUAGGCCAAACGAUUCUCUCUCUCUCUAAGCCAAAAAAAUCUAUCUCUGAGAAUCAAAGAAAAACCCCAUUUUCAAUAAUCAAUGGAAACCAAAGAACAUGUGUGAGAGAUGGCGGAUGGAGGGCUAUCUACGAACUGUGAGCUCUGUGAGAUGGUGGAGAGAGAGGUCGAACCUGUGUGAGAGAUGGCGGACGGGGGGCUAUCUGCGAACCGAGAAGUCUAAGAGAUGGCGAUGGCAGAGACAGAGCUCGAACCUGAAGAUGGCGGCGUAGGACUUGCUUCUGGUAUGCGUAAUGGAGCUAAGGUUAUCAGGCAGGGCUCACAAAAAUAAAG
rnacentral:lncRNA from 1 species